rnacentral:lncRNA from 1 species
CAACCUUGUUUUGUCACCCUCCCUUUCUCUCUUUCUCCAACUCUUCGACGGCGUCGACCCUGUCGCGCCGCCGCGGAGCGGCGGAGGAAGACGAGACGAUGGGCGGCGCAGGCGCGGCGGAAGGCGGCAGGUUUGCCAGGCCGGCGCCGUCUUCUCCAAGGUCAGCGUGCUACUGCUUUUCUGAAUUUUUUGCGUAUGCCUGUGUGUGCUGGAUUUCGUGUAUGGACUUCGAACGCGCGUGGCGUGUUUGUGGAAAUGCCUCUGAAAGUAGUAGCGCGCAGCACGCACUAACGCACUUGGGCGGGCGCAGCUGUGUGCCCGUUUUGCUCUAUGCGCGUUAUUAUGCCUGUUGUGUGGUGUGAGUUGUGCCGCUGACUAACUACCGUGGAAUUGUAACCAUAUCUUGGGUGUGUCGACAGCCUGCUAACAUUGCAUUUGGUGCUGUCCUAAUUCCUAAACACAUAAUAGAUUCAUGAGGUUAUUUAUAUACAGUGGAGAACGCAGAACAAAAUUUUAGGAGGUGCUAGUUUAAAAGACCAAUAUAAGAUUAUCAUUAAAAUACGUAGUACCACUAAGUCAUGAACAUUAUCAAAGCUUUUGUUGUUGAUUUAUACUGUCAUGGGCUGAGCUAAGAAAAGUUAGCAAAAAUGGUUUAAUUGGGUUAGAUCUGUUGAUGACCAAUACUAGCAUCAAUGGCUGCUAAAUCUGUGUUGACAUGUGUCUGCUUGCCUCCCUUGAACGAGUGGCUGCAGCCUAUACGCAAUACUGUACCGUGAAGCCAUGAGAUUGGCUUGUAUUAGUGUGGACUUGGUUCCUGAAUAAGGUAUGGUUUCCAGGGGGCCUGGCGGCAGUAGGUGUGCCUGAGCCCUAUUUGACCCCCUGCUGUGUCUGCCCCUGUUUAUAUAUAGGCUUAGUUAUGGUAAUAGAAGUAGCCUUACACAGUAGUUGCAAAGCAACAUAGCUUUGCACACCACCGGGGAGUUAUUCACACUACUUUUCCUCCACUGGAAAGCUCAAGGAAUGCUUGCUUGAUGGACUGUAGUUCAGUAGAAACUUGUGCCAUCCCUAACCGGUCUUUUGGUGAUGCCAUGGAGCACAUGAGGGCCACCUUAACCAAUGGGAGGACACAACUUUGCAUCAGUUCGGAGUUUCCACCAUCCAAAUCAUUGUGUAGCAUGUUGGGGUCUAAAAUCUCAGUUACUCUGUGGGGAAAUGCAGCAUCCACACGAUCGUGGAGGCUCAAACCAUCAUUGAAUUUUUCAUCAGUUGGACGCUUUCCAGUUAAUAUCUCUAACAACAACACUCCAUAGCUGUAGACAUCACCCUUCGUUGAUAUUUGCCCACCCAUUCCGUACUCUGCAUUUUCAUUUGAAAACAUAAGAAUGGCGAAUGGAGGAAAACUACAAUCCAUGUAACAUUGGAUAAGUUAAUAAGAUGGCUGAAGCAUACAGGUCAAUAAAUCAGUAUAAGUUUCCAAUUUCUCUCACCUGGUGCAAUAUAUCCAAUGGAUCCUUUUAAGUCAGCCAAACUUGUAGAGUUACCAGGCGCUGCUGUUGAAUUAGCACCCAUAAAUCUUGCCAACCCAAAGUCACUGACAUAUGCAGUCAUUUCAAGAUCCAAAAGAACAUUGCUUGGUUUGAUGUCACAAUGUAUUAGUGGGGAUACACACUGGUUGUGAAGAUAAUCUAAAGCGUAUGCAAUGUCCAAGGCUAAGCUAAUCCUUUCACCCAAAGUUAGGAAUCUCUUUUUACCAUGUCCAUGGUCCUCUGGAUGUAGCCACAUUUCCAGACUUCCAUUUGGCAUAUACUGAAAGACAAGUGCUUUAAAAUCAUAGCCAUUUGGAUCAAUCGUAGAGCAUAAAGUAAUGAUUUUGACAAGAUUUCGAUGGCGAAUAUAUCUUAAUGCCUCGCACUCCGCAUUGAAGCUUGUGGGUGCUCCGUACUUGUUAAGAUCGAAAACCUUAAUAGCAACUGGAUUGGUCUCAAACGGCAACAUGCCCUUGUAAACAGCCCCAAAGGAUCCCAAACCAACCAAAUUUGUGGGAGAGAACCCAUCUGUUGCAUUGGCAAUAUCUUCAUAUGAUAUCUUUCUCAUGUUCACACUGGAUUGCUGCAAAGAUGGUUUUUGUUUUCUUCUCUUGAUGAGAACAGCCAUUAAACAUAACAAUAAAAUUACAACAGACACUGCGAUUGGAAUUACUAUUUUCAAAAUAGUAGACUUGUGUUUACUUUGUGAUCCUGAUUCACGGCAAAGGGGCAGGCUAUACCCUGGAUCAUUCACACACAAUCUGUAGUUUCCGUCCAAGAUAGCCCUGCUAGCAUUACCAAAGACACCAUUUGAUGGUAUUGGCCCUUCAAAGUCAUUGAAUGAAAGGUUGAGUUUCUGCAAAGAACUUAAGAGAGUGAGGAACUCUGGAACUUUUCCUGACAAGCUGUUACGAGAGAGAUCCAGCUCCUUGAUGCUUUUUAAGUUCAUGAAAGAUUGUGGAAUGCUUCCAGUAAGAAGGUUCCCUUCCAUGUGAAGGUAUUCCAAAAGCACGCAAUUCCCUAGAGUGGACGGUAUUUCCCCGGUCAAGCGAUUGUUUGAAAUACUGAUGCUUCCAAGAUUUAUGAGGUUGCCAAUUUCUAGUGGUAUGGGCCCAGUAAACAAAUUGUGGGACAAGUCCAAACUUUGUGACAGGGAAGAAAUGUUGAAGACCUCACUUGGCAGGCUUUCACCGAAUGAAUUGUGGGACAAAUCAAGCUUCUCUAAUUGUCUCCACUGCCCUAAGUUUGAAGGUAUGCUCCCAUUGAAGUUGUUCCCAUCUAGAUGAAACUCGGUUAGUUGGGCAAGGUUGCCAAUAGAAUCAGGAAUAAGGCCUGAGAGGUUAUUUUGUGCCAAGCUUAGAACCAGUAAGUUGCUAAGAUUUCCAAUGGUAGGUGGGAUGCUCCCACUAAACAUAUUCUCAUCCAAAUACAGAACACUGAGACUCUUAAGAUUACCAAUCUCUGAUGGAAUUGCCCCAGAAAGUCUGUUUUGCCUGAGCCACAACCAGUUGAGCUGUGAGGGAAGAUUACCGACUGAGCUAGGCAAGGUUCCUUGGAGAAAAUUUGCAUCCAAGGCCAACUUUUUCAGUUGAGUGCAGUUUGCAAGGGAUGAGAGGAAGCUCCAGUCCCCUGCUUCAAGCUGGUUGUAUCCAAGAUCAAGGUCCUGCAAGUUUGGCAAGGAUCCAAAAGAUGGCACUAUACCAGUGAGACCAGCAGCAGCAAGAUAAACCAUUUCUAGCUUGGACAUAUUGCGAAGAGAAGCUGGGAUCGGCCCAUUUAACUGUGUUGUUGAUAGGAUUAAUGCUUCAAGGUUUGGAAGUCUGUUGCCUAUAUCUGGUGGUAGUUGGCCGAUGAGUGAGUUAUUGGCCAUGCUAAGAUAUUUCAAAGAUGAUAUGUUGAAAAUAGCCUGUGGCACAUGACCAGACAAAUUGUUGUAUGUGAGAACUAGCCUCUCUAGGGUUGGGAUCUUACUUAGGCUCUCAGGGAUGCUCCCCACCAAGUUAUUUGCUUUUAAAGAAACAUGAACCAAGGAAGAAAGGUUGCCCAGUGAGGCUGGUAUCCCUCCUGUGAGUUUAUUCUGCUCUAAAGUAAGGUAUUGAAUAGGUGCAGCAAUUGCUGUAACAGGUGGUAUGGAACCAACUAAGUUGUUACGGUCCAGGUAAAUGGUUCUCAAUGUGGAGCUGUUGAAGAGGGCUGGAGGGAUCUCCCCUGUAAGACUAUUUUGUGUGAGCCUAAGCACUUGAAGGGAUGAGCUAUUUGCCAAGAACUCUGGGAUUCCUCCUGUGAGCUGAUUGCCCCCAAGAUUAACAUAUACAAAAGAUGGGCUACUGCCCAACAAUGGUGGUAUGUCACCUCUGAGGGCGUUGCUAGAGAGAUCCAAAGUUUUCAGCUCAGGAAGCGUCCCAAAUCCAGUGGGUAUACUGCCUUCAAGCUUGUUGUUGUAUAGUAUAACUUGCUGGAGGUGAGUGCAUUGGGUUAAGCUUUGUGGUAUCUCACCUUGGAGGGAGUUGUUCGAUAAGCCGAGUACCUUGAGAUUGCUGCAUGAGGACAGCUCAUCUGGAAUACGGCCUUCAAGAGAGUUGAUGCUCAAGUUCAGGUAGCUGAUUUGUCUCAAGCGUCCGAGCUCACUUGGAAUUUUUCCAAGGAACGCGUUUCUUGAUAAGUCAAGGCUUGUGAUGGAGCUCAGAUUGGCAAUGCAAGGUGGUAUUGAACCACUGAGGCCUUUGGAGCUGACGUUGAGCGCCAUGACUCGGAGUUGGGUCUGGGUGUUGUUGCAUGAAACACCCUGCCAGUUGCAGAAGUUCUGGGAAGUGUUGCUCCAUGAGCUUAAGGAUCCGUUUGGAUCAGAGAUUUGAGACUUGAAGCAGAGCAGGGCUUCUCUAUCAGUAUCAGUGUCAUCGCUGAUUGCUAAUGGCAGAGAGCAUGAGAUGAUGAAAACAGCCAAGAGUGGAAUGAAUUUUGGGCAUGGAGCAAACAAGCGGAUCAUCUUGCUGUUCGUGCUGUGGCUUUCUCUUGCUUAUGGCAUUUUAAGUGCAGGCAGGCACACACUUGUCUUAUAUUCGUAUAUUCCAAUGAUUGUGCCUACUUCUUUUUGCCCAAAUGAAAACUGUUUUCUAACUCUGGGAAGGAAGGUAUGAAUCAGCUGCUGCAUUGUUUCUUAGUCAGAACUUUGAGUUGACUUCAUUUUCUCAGGUCAAUCACAUAUUAUGUGCUUGGUUACUUUAUACUGUCGAAUAUUGGUGGAGAUGCCUAAUGUGAUGUCCUCCAUCCAUUAUUGACUGAAGGAUUACAUUAUAUAUAAUUAUAUAUGAUUUUAGAUGGGAUAGUGGUGCCUAACUUCUAUUUCAAAGAUAUCCAACUGUGAAUAUCUGAUGUGUGUGAUCAUUUAGCAUUGUGUUCACAUAUGAUGGUGCCAGUUGAGUUUGGUGGUGAAAAUUGACUGCAAAAUUUGCAUGCUGAUAAAUGAGUUGGACGGGUAGAUGCACAACACUAAAAUAAUAUCUACCAUUGUUGACUAGAAUCCUCUUCUACAUGCUUCUUUCUCACGUAACUGACUUUUCGCAUGCUAUCCAAUAUCCAGUCCACAAGGCGUAUUGGUUCCAUGUAAUUUCUGAAUAUGCCCAUGUAGUGAUCGACCUAUGUGCUAUUUGGCUUUAUUUUGUUUACUGAAUAGCAAGCUAGGGGAAGCUAGAACCAUCAGCUAAAGAUAUGCUAAUUAUCAAAAAUCUAUUGAUUUCCGGUGCCCUAUGUGGUAAGUAGUACAAGGCAUGACUUAACGACUUAUAAUUCACUCAAACUAAAUUAUUGCCAGGCAGCUAUAUGAUUUCUAGUUUUAAAUGCUACAAUUUGAUGUGUUGUAAACAGCAGAUGUGCAAGCCAGACUUCUUAAUUCAUUUGAACAUGCCUCAUUAUCCCAACCAGGAGAUGGAAUCGUAGGUAGUCUUCUUGACUGGUCAAAUAAAGGCAUCACUAUGGUUUGCAUUUGCAUAUGGUCCUAACCAUACAUACAAUAAAUAUUACUGAUAUACUUGUACAUUUAAUUAUUAGCUUGUUAUGUUUCUUUUCAGGAUCUUGGUGCCUGUGGUAGCAAGAGAGGAAGUCCAUCCAUUGGAUGAGAUUUUUGAGACAUCGCCUGUACAUCAACCAAGGAUGGAACUGAUCAACUGUAGAUCCAGCUAAAAAUUGCAUUUUUUUUAACGCAAAGAAAAGAUUGACAAGGUAAUAUUACGUCAAUAAUCACAUUAUCUGUUUUACCCAGAUGGACAGUUGUUGAUGAAUUUAUAUAGGUAGGAAGAUGACAACGUACUUGACUUGCGUGAAUUUUGCAUGGUCACCACCAUGUAUUUUUUUGCUGACAAUGAUGUUCCACUUGCUAGUUACCUUGUGUAAUUAUUGCUGACGUUACUUUUGCAUGGUCACCACCAUGUAUUUUUUAGCUGACAAUGAUGUUCCACUUGUUAGUUAACUUGUGUAAAUUCAAAACUAAUUACGUCAGGUUGGAAUAUUACACAGUAUACUAACGGUUUCAGCCAAAAGAAUGAGACAGAAACAGAGGGUGCCGACUUGACACGGUCUUGUAACUCUUGUUGAACUUUGAUAUAU